AUAACGGCGUCGAGCGGCGGACGGGUGAGUAAUGCCUAGGAAAUUGCCCUGAUGUGGGGGAUAACCAUUGGAAACGAUGGCUAAUACCGCAUAACGCCUACGGGCCAAAGAGGGGGACCUUCGGGCCUCUCGCGUCAGGAUAUGCCUAGGUGGGAUUAGCUAGUUGGUGAGGUAAGGGCUCACCAAGGCGACGAUCCCUAGCUGGUCUGAGAGGAUGAUCAGCCACACUGGAACUGAGACACGGUCCAGACUCCUACGGGAGGCAGCAGUGGGGAAUAUUGCACAAUGGGCGCAAGCCUGAUGCAGCCAUGCCGCGUGUGUGAAGAAGGCCUUCGGGUUGUAAAGCACUUUCAGUCGUGAGGAAGGUAGUGUAGUUAAUAGCUGCAUUAUUUGACGUUAGCGACAGAAGAAGCACCGGCUAACUCCGUGCCAGCAGCCGCGGUAAUACGGAGGGUGCGAGCGUUAAUCGGAAUUACUGGGCGUAAAGCGCAUGCAGGUGGUUUGUUAAGUCAGAUGUGAAAGCCCGGGGCUCAACCUCGGAAUUGCAUUUGAAACUGGCAGACUAGAGUACUGUAGAGGGGGGUAGAAUUUCAGGUGUAGCGGUGAAAUGCGUAGAGAUCUGAAGGAAUACCGGUGGCGAAGGCGGCCCCCUGGACAGAUACUGACACUCAGAUGCGAAAGCGUGGGGAGCAAACAGGAUUAGAUACCCUGGUAGUCCACGCCGUAAACGAUGUCUACUUGGAGGUUGUGGCCUUGAGCCGUGGCUUUCGGAGCUAACGCGUUAAGUAGACCGCCUGGGGAGUACGGUCGCAAGAUUAAAACUCAAAUGAAUUGACGGGGGCCCGCACAAGCGGUGGAGCAUGUGGUUUAAUUCGAUGCAACGCGAAGAACCUUACCUACUCUUGACAUCCAGAGAACUUUCCAGAGAUGGAUUGGUGCCUUCGGGAACUCUGAGACAGGUGCUGCAUGGC
rnacentral:rRNA from 1 species